GGGGGGGGGGGGGGGGGGGGGGGGGGGGGGGGGGCGGGGGGGAGGGGCCGGGGGGGGGGGGGGGCGCGGGGGGCGAACGGGGGGGGGACGCGGGAGGGACCUGCCCGUGACGGGGGGAGGACUGCAGGAAACUGGGGCUAAUACCGGAUAGGAGCUCCUGCUGCAUGGUGGGGGGUGGAAAGUUUCGGCGGUUGGGGAUGGACUCGCGGCUUAUCAGCUUGUUGGUGGGGUGGUGGCUUACCAAGGCUUUGACGGGUAGCCGGCCUGAGAGGGUGACCGGCCACAUUGGGACUGAGAUACGGCCCAGACUCCUACGGGAGGCAGCAGUGGGGAAUAUUGCACAAUGGGCGGAAGCCUGAUGCAGCAACGCCGCGUGCGGGAUGACGGCCUUCGGGUUGUAAACCGCUUUCGCCUGUGACGAAGCGUGAGUGACGGUAAUGGGUAAAGAAGCACCGGCUAACUACGUG
rnacentral:rRNA from 1 species